CGCGGUUGUAGCAAUACAACUGGCGCACGGCGCACGGGUGCGUAACACGUGGGUAACCUGCCCUUUACUGGGGAAUAACCCCGGGAAACCGGGGCUAAUACCGCAUAAGAUCCGCAAGGAUGAAAGCCGUAAGGCGCUGAUGGAGGGGCCCGCGCACGAUUAGCUACUUGGUAGGGUAACGGCCUACCAAGGCUAUGAUCGUUAGCUGGUCUGAGAGGAUGGCCAGCCACACUGGAACUGAGACACGGUCCAGACUCCUACGGGAGGCAGCAGUGGGGAAUCUUGCACAAUGGGCGAAAGCCUGAUGCACCGACCCCGCGUGGGGGAUG
rnacentral:rRNA from 1 species